rnacentral:hammerhead_ribozyme from 1 species
AUCCAGUGACUGACGAGUCCCAAAUAGGACGAAAUACGCUUUAUCCUGGAU